GGGGUCGACCGGAAUUGACAGGGUAGCGAUGGUUAUGUAAGCAUGCAGUGCAUUGUUAGUCUAGCACUUGAAUCUGAACUUUCAACUUUUUAAAUGGCGAAGAAAACUACGCCUUAGCUGCUUAAUUUAGAAUUAAGACAAGCUUUUGUCUCGUCAGGUGUUGCCUUACCGCUUGACACUAGAGGCACCGAACAGUAAGACUGGUCCUUGUGACGUUGCUAAGCAAAGGAUGAGAUUCAGCAAAUAAGGAGAACAGUAUAGGUAAGCGACGCACCUUCUCUCUCCCGACAAUUAAAGCGGAGCUAAGCAUGUAGAAAGCGUAAAUCAUACUAUGUUUGGACGAGGGUUCGAAUCCCUCCGACUCCACA
rnacentral:tmRNA from 1 species